UGGCAAACCCAAGCUGGCAUCUCUGUACCCACUCUCACCCCCGCCACAGCCAUGGCUGUCACACACAAACAUGGGAGUGGGAAGAUGAAUGUCUUCAGUGCUGACAUAAUAUUUAAAAAGCUGUCAAUCACCUAAACGCCCAGCUGUAGGGGACUGCAGAAAUGCAUCGUAUGAAACUCAUCCACUGCAUGAACUACUCUUGCCAUGAGCAGCAUUCAAAAUACAUUUUCAGAGAAAAAGUAGGAUAUGAAAUGAAAUCUGUGUCUAUAAAAGAAAAUGGAUAGGCCAGGCGCAGUGGCCCACGCCUGUAAUCCC
rnacentral:lncRNA from 10 species